rnacentral:rRNA from 1 species
GAGUUUGAUCCUGGCUCAGAGUGAACGCUGGCGGCGUGCCUAAUACAUGCAAGUCGAACGAUGAAUCUUCUAGCUUGCUAGAAGUGGAUUAGUGGCGCACGGGUGAGUAAUGCAUAGGUUAUGUGCCCUUUAGUCUGGGAUAGCCACUGGAAACGGUGAUUAAUAUCUGGAUACUCCCUACGGGGGAAAGUUUUUCGCUAAAGGAUCAGCCUAUGUCCUAUCAGCUUGUUGGUGAGGUAAUGGCCCACCAAGGCUAUGACGGGUAUCCGGCGUGAGAGGGUGAUCGGACACACUGGAACUGAGACACGGUCCAGACUCCUACGGGAGGCAGCAGUAGGGAAUAUUGCUCAAUGGGGGAAACCCUGAAGCAGCAACGCCGCGUGGAGGAUGAAGGUGAAGGAUUGUAAACUCCUU